UCUAUUGCAACAAGCGAAAAAAUAUGCAGCUGGAGAAAUAAAAGAUAUUAUAGAUUCAGAAACAGAUGACACAACUAAUUGCAGCACUGCAAGUAAUUUAGAUAUGAGUGAAACUUCAGAUACGAAAGAUCAACAUAUAUGGACUCGUGCUGAAACACUGUUACUUAUUACUUUAUAUAAAGAACACGAA